rnacentral:rRNA from 1 species
CGGGUGCACUGAUCCAGCCGGGCCUUUCCCUCUGUGGAACCCCAUGGCCUUCACUGGCUGUGGUGGGGAAACAGGACUUUUACUUUGAAAAAAUUAGAGUGCUCCAGGCAGGCCUAUGCUCGAAUACAUUAGCAUGGAAUAAUAGAAUAGGACGGGUGGUUCUAUUUUGUUGGUUUCUAGGACCGCCGUAAUGAUUAAUAGGGACAGUCGGGGGCAUCAGUAUUCAAUUGUCAGAGGUGAAAUUCUUGGAUCUAUUGAAGACUAACUACUGCGAAAGCAUUUGCCAAGGAUGUUUUCAUUGAUAAGGAACGAAAGUUAGGGGAUCGAAGACGAUCAGAUACCGUCGUAGUCUUAACUAUAAACUAUGCCGACUAGGGAUCGGACGAUGUUAUUCUUUGACGCGUUCGGCACCUUUCGAGAAAUCAAAGUGCUUGGGCUCCAGGGGGAGUAUGGUCGCAAGGCUGAAACUUAAAGAAAUUGACGGAAGGGCACCACCAGGGGUGGAACCUGCGGCUUAAUUUGACUCAACACGGGGAAACUCACCAGGUCCAGACACAGUGAGGAUUGACAGAUUGAGAGCUCUUUCUUGAUUCUGUGGGUGGUGGUGCAUGGCCGUUCUUAGUUGGUGGAGUGAUUUGUCUGCUUAAUUGCGAUAACGAACGAGACCUUAACCUGCUAAAUAGCCCGUACUGCUUUGGCAGUUCGCCGGCUUCUUAGAGGGACUAUCGG